GGGGAGGUGCCAGAGAGGUCGAUUGGGGCCGCCUGCUAAGCGGUUACCGGGGUUAAACUCGGUCAUGGGUUCGAAUCCCAUCCUCCCCG
rnacentral:tRNA from 1 species